rnacentral:rRNA from 1 species
AUUGAACGCUGGCGGCAGGCUUAACACAUGCAAGUCGAGCGAGCGGCGGACGGGUGAGUAAUGUCUGGGAAACUGCGUGAUGGAGGGGGAUAACUACUGGAAACGGUAGCUAAUACCGCAUAAUAUCGGAUGAACCCAUAUGGGAUUAGGUAGUUGGUGAGGUAAAGGCUCACCAAGCCGACGAUCUCUCGCUGGUCUGAGAGGAUGACCAGCCACACUGGGACUUAGACACGGCCCAGACUCCUACGGGAGGCAGCAGUGGGGAAUAUUGCGCAAUGGGGGCAACCCUGACGCAGCCAUGCCGCGUGAAUGAAGAAGGCCUUCGGGUUGUAAAGUUCUUUCGGUAGCGAAGCGUUAACUACAGAAGAAACACCGGCUAACUCCGUGCCAGCAGCCGCGGUAAUAC